AUCCAGUUGACGAGUCCCAAAUAGGACGAGAUGCACGUUAUCCUGGAU
rnacentral:hammerhead_ribozyme from 1 species